rnacentral:lncRNA from 1 species
CUGAGGGCGCCCAGAUUAGAAAACAACUGAAAUAAAGUGAGAAAUACUGACACCAGGCUGCAGCAGGUGAUUCAGGGAUCACGCUUAAUGAGAGCUAAAAAGACCCAGAACAGAACUGACUAAGAAAAACUGUGAUCCAGAUCCAGGUUUGUGUGGUUUUCCACCUCCAGAGUGAGCGCUGAAAACCCUCUGAACUCCUGACUCCAGACUCAACUAACUCUGACGGUUUGUUCAUGUAGUCAAAAGAAAUCCCACUCUGAGUGUUUUACUUUGAAGAUUACUUUCAUUUACAAAACUUCUUUUUAUUUCUGUGUCACAAAAUGCAGUUUGACAACACGGACAGGGCGAAUUACCUGAACUACAUGUUUCGAUGUUUAACUGUCUCCUUUGACCCGCUCUGUGCAGAUUGAUGCUUCCAGCAGGAACCAGUGGGAGGAAACACGUUGACUCUAAGGGGAAAGAAUCUACAGGAAUUCAGAGGUUAGUCAUGCACACCUGCUUAAAUACCUGCAUGUUGGAGAAGUGAUGGUGCUCCUGGUCGCUCAUUCUGAUGCUCAAACAUCUGCUUUUAUUCCAUGCUGUGACGUUGUACACAUUAAUGUAAAUCAGGAUUUAAAUCUCUGUCAGUUUUCUGAUUUAAAAAAACACCUCCAGGUUUUUUAAUGACCCUCAGAUUGAGGAGCUCUCUGUCUCAGUCCCUGUUUUGUCCUGUAAAGUUAGAUUUUUCCCUGAAAUGCAGUCAGAUUUCACAUCACGCUGUAUCAUUUUCAAGUUCGGUGUCUGCCCUGGAGCUGUGCCGCUAACAAAGCGAACAUCACAUUCAGAAGACGACAAAAGCUCCCCUUUGUUAACUCCAUAAAUGUAAAGUAAUUGAACAAAUAUGCUCCUGAUCGUGCUUCAAAUUAAAUCCUGUCUUUUCAGCUCCCGUCAAGCAUUUAGUUGUUUUCAGUAAACAAGUCUAAUUCAACAUGACGACAGGCUGUUGUUGGAUCUUUUAACAGUCAGUGAUGUUGGCUUAAACGCUUGGGAUGAAUGUGAGAACGAACGUAGGCGCUGCUGGAUGCUGCCCGUCCAUUUUUCGAGAGGCUUCCUGUUCUUCUGUUGGCUGUGGGUGGACGGCAGCUCCGCUAAUUAAUGCAGCCAUCAACGCCGAGUACAACUGUGUGAAAUGAUUAUCCAAAUGCAUCCUCAAAAAUACGCCGCCUGGUCAGGGGGAUAAUGUCUGUGAAGAUUUUUGUAAUUGUUCCCUCAAAUUAGCAUUUAUUAAUUUGUGUCCUCACAUUACAAACCGUUUAUGAAUUUUUAAUUAGAGCUCCUCUGUCCAUUCACAGUUUUCAUAGACUGAGGUAUCCUGGUUAUAAAACAGACAUCAUACUAACAACACUACUUACAACACUUUUAGAUACAUCUACAAUCCCUACAAAUCCUCCGGUUUGGUGAAUCACAUGAACUCUAAAAAAAUAUGAUUGAAUCUUCGUUUGAGUAAGUCAGUGUGUAUCUGCAGUUUUGAUUCUGUGUAUGUUGUUUUUUAGAUGAUACUUAAUAGUACGGUGCUUAGAAAUAGAAUGAUUUUUUGGUUCUGAGGCGUCAGAUUUUAGCUCGAAAUGCUCCCUUGCUCAACCCUCAUGUUUGUAAAGGUACGGUGGCCUUGAAGGACAAGAAGUUUUUGUCAGUUUUUUAUAAUUUGGAAACAUCCAUCAAUGCAAAGUCAACAACCACACCGUGGCAAACCCGUUUGUUUGCCAGUUUUAAUGCAUUUCUUAGUUAAAUAUUUAUGUGCUUCUGGAGAAACGAGAUGGUGGCCUCCGUGGAAGAGGACCUGCUAACAUGUGGAUUUAAAGACUCAUUUUGAGUUUAUAACCAAACCAUGUUUAUAUACAGUAGGGCUGAAACGAUUCUUCGAGUACCUCGAUUACAAAAAAUGAUUUCUGAGUACUCAUUUAUGAGCUCAAAUCAUCGCUGUUUCGCACUGAUUAUUAUCAAGGUGGCACCACGUGCUUACAUCACCGCGGUAGAAGGAGGAGUAGGCGUGGUUUGGGUUUUGCAGAGCGGAAAAAAUGAAUGAUGAGAGGGUCUUUUUUCUGUAGAGCUCCAGCAGCUCAUUAGCGAUUCGCCUCUGAGUCGUGGGCGGAGUUGGCGCUGCUCUGCACGCUCCUCUUCAUGCUAGAUUGUAGCCUAACAUUGUUGGUGAAGUAGAAGUUGCAGGUAACACAGGAACUAUUCAGCUCUCAGACACUAAUGUCUUUAGGGACAUGAUCAAAGUUAAUAUCAUAAUUAGCUUUCUUACAAGCAUUGCGAUCCACUACAUGCUUGUUCCACGAUCGUCCUCUCUACUUCUCCAAGUCUGGCCUUCAUAGCGGAGCUCUGGGGGCGGAGCUUGGAUUUGUGACGUAGGAAAUCCCACUGUAUCAGAACCUGCCGUUUGGGUCCGAUUACUCGAGUGAUCGAUGGAAUAUUUGGUAGAAAACUCGAUUAAUAAAAUAUUUGAUCACUGCAGCCCUAAUAUACAGGUGAUUAUAUACUGAUUUAAACAUACUUAUGAACACUUUAUUCCAUUUUUAACAACUUUAACCUACUAAAUGCUGCUAAAUAUUACACACUGCACCUUUAAUUUGUCUUAUUCAACACUUCUUUUCCUUUACCGAUCUCUUACACUUCACUAUUUUGUCAUUUAACGUCGUAGUCUGGCAAAAACUUGGUUUAAGUCUACAACUUGGUUUAAGUCUACAAUGCAUACCCUGAUUAUUUAGCGAGCACCUCCACAGUCUAAUGUAAAACACAUUAAAAACCCAGUUUGGAUCUACCAGACCCCUUUGGUGCAAAAGCGAUGAAGCUCGUCCAGAGGGCCGAAACAGAGUAACCCAGGGAUGGUAAACAAAUGCAGCGUCUGCAGAGCGCAGUCGAACUCUGAGCGAGUUCAUAAAGUUUUCAUCUGCAGGGACCUGAGGAGCUACAGGGAAUCAGAGAAGACGUUAAACACAGUUGAAACAUACGACAGCAAACCGACUUAAAAAUGCAGAUUAGAAAGUCAGCAGAGAGAGAGAGAGAGCGGCACUUGGACUACUCCUUCAUACUUAAUUUCUAAUGAGUGGAAGUUGGUGUCAGAUUUUAAGCAGACUACAGCUCUGCAUGCAAUUUAAAAAUAAAGCAGCAUUAUUAUUUAACAAGUAUUUAAAGAGACCAUGUGGUGAAGAAAGAGCUGAGCCGUAAGGCGAGACUCUCGAUUUAUCGGUCGAUCUACGUGCCGAUGGACUUUGGGUAAUGACCGAAAGAACAAGAUCGCAGAUACAAGCGGCUGAAAUGGGUUUCCUCCUCAGGGUGUCCGGGCUCAGCCUUAGAGAUAGGGUAAGGAGCUCGGACACUGCAGGGAGCUCGUGGAGCUCCUCCACGUCGAGAGGAGUCAGCUGAGGUGGCUCGGGCAUCUGGUUAGGACGCCUUCUGGACGCCUCCCGUUAGAGGUGUUCCAGACACGUCCCACCGGGAGGAGACCUUGUGGCCGGUCCAGGACCAGGUGGAGGGAUUAUAUCUCUCACCUGGCCUGGGAGCGCCUGGGAAUCCCCCGGAGGAGCUGGUGGAGGUGAGGGCCGUCUGGGCUUCCCUCCUGAAGAAAACGACAACGAUUUAAAGAACUCAAAAUUAGCUGAAAACGUAAACGUAGUUCGUCUGCAGCUUCCCCUCCAAACAACCUCCCUCCAAAAAUACUGAAAUAUCCCUUUAAGAGGUUCCUGACAAUACUCAGCCCUUUAAUAAGCAGGUGAUUCAACCUUCAACUUUUGAGCAGAUGGUUUUAUUUAAUAAUUGAUGAAUGUGAAAUCAACUUUAAAAAGAAAACUCCAAAUCUACCAGAGUAACACACGGUCAGAGUCGGGUCGUCUGCACACAAAAACAGAACCUCAAACCCAACAUAACACUUCUUCUUCUAGUGUUGCAUUAGCAGCAUGAACACCAUUAGAAGCGAUCGUUUUUCCCCAGUGAAGGUUGUUUUCCCUCCAGCAGCAGCAUCAGCUGGCGAGCCUGUGGUGGUCUUCUAUCCCACCCACCGUCAAAAGCACCCCCUCUCCCCUCCAGAAUUCAUCGAUUUCCAUGGAGCAGAUUCCUCCUGGCUGAACAGUUCCCUCCUUGUAUGUCGGGCGCUCAUCUCUGACAGCUGAGGCCGGCUCGUAGCCUGUGGCGAUCGUCUGGAGUGGACGGACACACGGAGCAGACAAUGAGUCGCCUCAGAGCUGCAGCAGAUGUCCCGGUGAUCGCCGCGGACGCUGGCCGACAACUCUGCUCGCUGCUGCUUUACUGAUUGGAGGAGAAUUAUAUAAAAGAAGACGAAGAAGAAGAAGAGCGCUCUGCUUGGAGUUCAAGUGCCAGUUUGCACAAUAUGCUCUAUUGUGGAUGAGAGUAUUUUUGCACCAAACAGGAGUUGUAUUAUUGAAGGAAGAGAGCCAUGAGGGACCCUGAGAUUAAACUGCUGCUCUGAGCUGCUGCAGGCGCACUGAUUUGUACUUUCGGCAGAAAAAAAGAUUCAAAGGUUCAGCUUUGAUUUAACAACCAGAUUAAUCAAAUAAAAUACAGCAAAAUAAGCCCAGUGGAUCUCCUGAAAGAAACUUUUCACAGUCAUUAUCAUGUUGGUGUUUUUCGCUCAGUUACAGGCCACAAAGCAAAUACUCUGCUCUGCAUUCGCAUAAAAAGACGGAAUAUUGAAUCUGUAAAAAAAGUGAAUAGAUGUGUUUUUUGAUAAGCUCCUUUAAAAUGUGAUAGUUUUCUUUCAAAGUGCAUUCAGUCUAUCUAUUUAAACAAAAUAAUAAUGAUAACGAAUCAAUGUUUUUUUGAUUUGAAUCAUAUUUGAAGUUCAGGCAAGGAAAGCAAACAAACCGCAGAAGUUAAAGAAACUGAACCUUUACACACUCUGGUGCGUGAUGCAGCUGCAGUAAAGUGAUGUGCAAAAUGAAGAUAUCAGCAUGGAUCUUUUAAUAUUUAUUUUAACUGAAUAAAUUUUUAUUUGGUACAAACCUGCAAAUUAGACCAAACUGUGCAACGAAAGAAAACUAUGCAGCAGCUAUAAAGAGUUUGCAGAAAUGCAGAAAUCAAAGGAUGUGGAUAAUGCGUUAAAAUUGAGGGUGCAGUGCAUACAUGCAGUGAUUUACACAAAUGUCCUCCUUCUUUAGAGUCUACACAUUUAAUUAAAGCAGAGUGGACAUCAUAGUACCAGCUUUAAGUAGUUAGGAGGGCUAUGACUGUGAUGACGACUGGUGCUUGGACCCUAAUAAACCAGCGAUUAACCCCACCACCCCUGAACAGAGAUAAACCGUGCAUACGUUCAGGAAAAGGUUGGUGUGGAGAGUCUGGAGGAGAGAGGACGAGAUGAAUCUCCGAUCUAGAGCCCAUCAUCUGCUGGUGGAUAGGAGCAUCUGUCAGUCACCUCCUCAGGGUGGAAAACACAAAUCUGCGAGAAUCCACACAGAAAAGAUCAGACUUCAUUUCGGAGUCCAGUGUCUCCGGAAACAUUUGGUCAUUGUUGUGCAGACGGCUGUGGUUGAAAGCUAACCUUUAGGCCAGUUUACAGAGGACUUUGGGAUAUUACACACCUUUCAGAGGGUUUUCAAUCCAACAACAACACAAACCUCAGUGUCUAAAAGUCAGAAAAUGUCACGCUUAUUUCCAGCCUUCACUCACAGAAACGUUAGCUCAGGCUCUAGUGAGUAAAGAGAGUUAGGGUUGGAGUAGAGUAGAGGUUUCUCUACACGUCUCAAAGAUAUAUCCCAGAGUGAAGGUUUAUUCACAACUUUUAAACAGGUGUGCACUCGCUUUGUGCUGGUAGGACUUGUAUGGAAGCUGAGUGUGGCACAUUUGAGGUUAAAGUCCUGAAAAAUCAGAAUUAAAUCAUGUUUUCAUGUUUUUUUCUGAUGGCUAUGACUUGAGGGAACCAUGUGUGUGUGUUAGUGAAAAGGUUAGAUUAUUGUUGAUGUGAGAGAUCUUCACUUUACGUACAAAAAACUCUGUUUAUCUUGUCUGACAUCAUGGCAGCUUACACUUUCUUUGAGCAUAUUUCUACUUUUACGUGGCGCACAUGAUCUUCAAACCUGGUGAUAAAAAUCACAAAACCAGAAUGAAAAAUGAUUUUAGUGUGGAAAGAGAGAGCGGCCAAAACUGUGGAUCCUCCCUUUAAAGCGGGACAGGAGGCUCAGCAGAGUCUCAUAAAAACACGUGUCGACUCUGAGGAACAUACUCAGCAUCUUUGGAUUAAACCGAAGUGAUUGCAGACCCGCCGAGGUUAUUUGAACCUUUAUUACUUUUCCCCCUGUGAGUCUGUUGUCAGAGCUGGUUAGCUUCCACUCCCACCUACAUCAGCGCUGGAGGACUUGAAUAAUUCAUGCUAUCUGCGUUAUUUAUGUAUUCGCUUAUUCAUGAAGGCACAGAUCUGUAUGUGCCGUGUCGCUGCUGGGGGGAGGUAAAUGAAGACGUCGGGUGAGUUCGAGGCGGCCGAGGAGGGGCUUUUAUUUUGUAAUUUUCUUUAGAUUCUAAUAGUGUCAUGAAAUUGGAUUGUGUACGAGUCAUGAUUCCAUAAAGAGACUGUGACCAAUGCAUGUUGAACAGACAGAGCGGCCUUGUUCUGCCUUUUGUCUUCCUCCCUGACUGACUGAAUGUCACCCUCGCUUCAUCACUUCCCCAGAAAAACAAAAAGUGUCUGCUGGAGAGCCCGCAGAGCCUCAGGCCAGGGCUUCCCUCAGCAGCCACCAUCACUAAUCUCAUUUACCGCGCCGUCCUCCGACAGCAGGAAGAAACAGACGGAGAGUAAUCUGGAAAAAAUGAGGGAGCGGAGGAGUCACGGAAAAGGGGCGCGGGGAGUUGGGAGAUAAGGGGGCUAAAGUCAGGAAGCUGGUGGCAGAUAGCGGCGGCUCAGAUAAGAGCCACAUCACAGAGCUGAUCAGCAGCUGCACUGUUAGCGCUGAUGUGGUGAUGUGAGCGUUAACAUGACGGAGAAAAUCCCAGAGUUCAGCCGCUGAAAUCCACUUUAACGCUCUUAUCCUCCCAGACAAACUGUUGCUGCAACAAUUCAACUCAACUCAACCGCUGAUCCGGGCUCGCCUUUGACUCGAAGUGUUGCAUGAAACUUUACACAAUGGUAAUAUAACAGGGGCACUUCGGUACAGUGAAAAAUUAGUACUCAGAAAUAAUUCAACUUUAGAUUAAGCUGUUAUAGUUCGAAUUUGGUGAUAAUUUUUACUGUUUUUCUGGUUUGGUGACUUUUAUGUUUUUAUCUAACCAGACAAACUGAUGUCCAUGUCACAUCUGUCUUGGAAGCAUCCCAUUGACGAUCAUUAGAAAAGGCAGAACCUUUCAAAAUAAAACUUGCCUUUGCUUCAUUCCUCUCAGAAGACGUUGUCUAAUUCUUAACGCACAAAGGUUUUAACGCUCCUCAAACAUCACAGCGUCUCUGUGUGCUGAUCAAUUUAAUUGAUCCAUCAUGUAUAAAUCUGGAGUUGAUUUAGCCUUCCUUCCUCUCAGCCUUACUGUGAAAAAAAACAUUGGUAAAAACCGUUGAAGCUGCUGCGGCCGAAUACUGAAAGCCGACUUCGUAAAGUUCGUGACCCUGAGCCGUCAAAGGGGGUGUGACCGCAGACUGAAUCCUGAUCUUUGAUAUUAAGGAUGUAUAUUGUUGUUUUACUUCAUUGUGAACAAUCCCCUUUACUUUUCUACGAUACGCCUCUAAAGAGAGCAUACUUCACCAGACCAAAGUAUCGCCAUAGCAACGCCAACACUCAUUGGUUUAGUCAUUCUGUGGCAGGAAACAAGGUCCCAACUUGAAAUUUGGUUUUCCAAGAAUGGAUUUCAUAGAUUUUAGAGUCUGAACGGCGUAAAGGUUAAACAGGAAAUAUUUUGUUUUAUAGUUAACCGUAUUGAACAUGGAUGUAGUGUUUUACUACGUCGAAAGAUGGCGAUCACCUUUGAAAAUGGAGUUAACCAAGAGUGGAAAUGCUAACUCAGCCUCACUUCAUCUCUGUGUAUAAACAGGUCAGGAGCUGGAGUUAAAAUCCAGUCCGUGUUGAGAUUUCCUCAUGGGUUAAUUGUUUUAUUCAUAUAAGAGGGUAGUUAGUUUAGUUUAGGUCAGAAGGAGGGAUCUUGAGGGGUUGUCCUCCUCUUUAAGCUCUUUGGCUUCCUCAAACCCUGAAAAUGUCUGAAUAAGACAAAAGUCUAUUCUAGCCUUGUGAUGUCAUCAAUGGAACAGAAUUCCCCCAACGAUGUCACAAGACUAAAUUCUAUUCUAGCCUUGUGAUGUCAUCAUCAAUGGAACGGCAUUCCCCUCAUGAUGUGGCAAGACUACGUUCUCACGUAUCCAUGGAAACCAAAUAAAAAAAUAAAAAAAAACAGACCACAGAAUAAUAACAAUACAAUUAUAUGAACGAUGAAACUAAAGUAGCAAAAUCUUGGAGAAGAAAACUGUGCAACAAGUGCACCAAUGACACACAUGAGCGUCUAAGAAAUCCUGUCAGGAGGAAUUGACUCAGUGAACCAGAAGCCAAAUGAGAACAACAAGUUCUGCGUCCAAGAACAUGAAGGAUUUGACAGAUUUAUUCAGGCCUAAGUGAGGGUCCACAUAGCUUUCUCCUCUUUAGGGAUGAUUGGUUUGGUUUUACACAAUCAGAGACUCUGCUGUUUGCUCGUAAUUAUUCUGUAAGCGACCCCGAAUGAGGCCGUAAACCAAGUACAGAUACAGAAGUGAAAGGAGAGGCUGUCGGAGAUGGAAGAUUUUCCAUUUCAUGGAAUAUUCCAGUAUUCAUUUUUAAGGUUUAGCGGUCACAGCAGAGCGUCAGAGUCGUUUCCCUCCAGAGAUGGGAUCUGAUUCGCUGCCGCCUUCUUAAUAUUUCGGCUCCUCCAAAGCGAGGAGAGCUGCAGGGAAAUCUAACGGUGUGACUGAUGGAAUUAACCGCAGGGAAUCUCCCUGGAAAACACUCGACUAAACGACGCCUCAGUCAUCAGUGACAGAGGAUGAUUAUGGCAAAGGGCUGAGGGGAGUCCAGCAGCUGAGCUGAGAGAGAGAGAGAGAGAGAAAAGAUGACAACAAAUGAACGCAGCAGGAGAGUCACAUUUAUGAGAAUAUUACAGCUAAAAACUCGGAAACUUCACAUGCAGAACAAGAUCCAAGCAGUCAGGAGGAGAUUCAGAGACAAAAGCACGACCCUAGAAAAGGGACAAUGCAACAAGUUCAGGGAUCAGUGUGAUUACAGAAAACAGGGAAAAGCCAGGAAAUGUGAAAACGGACACACUUAAACUUCGUACCUUUUAAAAGUUCUAUAUAAAAGCAGACAGUUUAUCACACUAGCUUACAGUGACACGUCCUUUUUGGCGAGCUCUAUGGACGGCAUUACUGCCAGUAUAUAAUGAUAUUUUAUUCCUUCUAUAAAUGCAGUGUUGUAACUCCCUUUUGCAAACUGUUUCUUACUUCGAAAAUGUGCCUCCUCUUCCACUACAUCGCCAAAAUGGUGACCAUCAAAGUGCCAAAUUAAACUUUUUAACCUCUCCAUUAACUCUACUGCACUGCAUUCAGACUCGAAUCCAGUGAACUAAACAUAUGUAAUACCUUUACUUUGGUUUUAUUCACAUCUGUGCAACAAACAUGUUCAUGUAAAAUGAGACGAGAAGUUCAUCUUCUUUGUCUGAAUUUGUUAAAAGUUUAGACAAAAAUAUAGCCUCAUGUUGUUUUGAUCACGUUUGAAACUUUGACCCGUUGUUUUUUCUUUAGGAAUCACCGGAAGUGGAUCGAACUGGGUCACUGACAUCCUGAAAUACACCUAAAAAAAAACACCUUUUAGGGGAUUCAACGCCAUGACGCAGUGACGCAUGAAUUCAUGGUUAAAGAUUCCCUAACCAAAAUCUGAGCGUGUAAAUAAAAACACGUUUCAGAAGUUGAACAUUUCUUAAUUCUUCAUCUUUUUUAAGUUCAUCUUUGGAAAUAUUCUCAUAAUCUGAAUUUCAUGAGCUGUAAACCAAAUGAAAACAAAAUUAGACCUGAAAGGAUUAACUCAACAGAGAACAAAUGUGGAUUAUAUAAAAGCUAACCUUUAGAAAAUUAAAAUACAGUAAAAAUCAACUUUUCUAAGGUAUUCCAGUUUGAUAAGAUGUGUCUGUAAAUGUGUUUAAACUGAAUAUUUAGAUUUACCUUUUAUCUAUUUCACAUCCAUAUUUUUGAAAGAAGUCAAAAGUGAGGGGGGUGUUAAGAAGGUGGGAAUCUUACCUGAGAUCUGUCAGUGGCAGGUUGUGUGUUUGACUCCAGGCUUGUGUAUCAGUGUGUGUUUGUCUUCAUACAGUAUCUGUCCCUCAUCUCAAACCUCAUGAAUAAAUUACGACCUGAAGUUUGGAGGCAGAAGCUUCAGUCUGGAAUCCUCUCGGUCUCGGUUUCGUUUCCCCGCUCGUCCGGCUCGUCUUCUUUGUCGACGAGGCGGUUGACCCGGCGGCGUCUUCAUCUCCUCGGUGACUGAUCGGAAUGGGGGGGGGGGGACGCUGCCCGCGGCCGACCUAAAUCUUUGAUGGUACCCUGAGGCCCCGUAAGCAGAGCCAAUAACCGGGAGACGGCUGUUCUCUGCUGCUGUCCAUGAAAAAAACAUUCAGCUCAAACAGGCGUUGCGGGCGAUUCGUCCAUAUGUAUGAAUGUGUUUAUGACGCUGCUGAAUUAUUGGGCGAGCUGAUUUUCGUUCCCCUGAAAAGUGAGUUUAGACUGUGCGGGUCUGCCUCACUGCUCCUGGAUGUGAUAUGAAAACUCAGGAGCCUGAAGGCAGCACGAACGGUGCGUUCACAGGCACUAGGGUUCAGCAGACUGUGUGUUUCUGUGAGGACAUAAACCGGAGAGGUCUCCGGUUUAUUCUUAAAGCUGUACGUCAUUUCUGAUGUUUAUCCUUAGAAGGCUGUAGAGUGUCUAAAACCUGAUGACAAAGCUUUCAAAACAAUAAAGAAAAACAAUAACAAAAACAGAAGUUACUGAAAAAAGGGAGAAGUAGGGCUGAGCGAUAAACCGAAAAUUUACGACAAUAAGCAACGUCGUUUUGCUCAUGUCAAUAUAUUCAGUGUCAGAAAAAUAACUAGAAGUUGGUUUUGGAUGUGUGUAGGUACAUGCUGUAGUAAGACGAAGUUAAUGUGGGAGGGGGUGAGCAGCUUGCGGAGUAGUUAUCGUCCAUUUAUCGUUCUUGAGGUGAACUGAUCAAUAUGUCCUGAUACCGAUUUGAGGCCACAUCGCCCAGCCCUAGAGAGUGUCACCACAAGCUUAGUAAUGAACGAUGUAGAAUACAAACUUGCACGCCACACUGUUGCAUCUCUAAAACUGCAUCAUCUUCGUGUAGGCGGUUUAAGUGUACGUUUAAGGAAAGGCUGAUGAACUUCCUCACAGCUAUUCUUGUUAACAUGUGGUGCACAUGCAUCAGGGGUGACCGGAUUGUGUACGUCUGCUUAGUGCUGUUAGAUUAGAUUAGAUUAGACUAGAUUAGUUGUGUUUACCGUCUGAACGGAGGUGAGACGAACUGAAAUCUGUUUCUUCCUGCGAUAUCCAGUCAGAAACUCCUCCCUCCUUCCCUCUGAAAUAUUUUGGCCUGAAAUACUCAAAUCUAACCUGGAUCAGGGGAAUCAGAAAAUCAACAUUCCUCACUUUAAACUUGGGUUUUAAAAUGCCUAAACCAAAAAUGUUCGGUCUUUGAGACAAUCGGAGACAAAGUCAAGAGAUUUAUGAGUUUAGUGAAGGAAAAAUCAUAUGAAGACCGUCUCUCUCUGUGAAUUUACAGUUUCUUUAAAAAGUCCAGGCCUCAAAGGCACAUAUGUCAACCAAAAGCCAAUUAACCUUUUUAAGAUAAGACGGAGAUAGUAACUCUGUGGUUAGACCUCACACAUGCAAAUGUUUUUGACGCUUUAAUGAUGUAGAAUCGCCAAAUUUAUCCGCAGACAUGCUGUGAACGAACUCACACAGAGACGGACAGAAAGCGUCCAUAAAAAGAGGAAUAUUAGGAGAUGAGAGGCGAAAAGAGCUUCUUUGUUUAGUCUCAUUAUUCGUAGGCGUAUCAGCUUCCUAACACAGCCGAUUGGAGCUGCCAAGCCUUUUCUGGAGGCAGAGGCUAAGUAAGCACGCCGCCGCUGCCAGCAGUUUGUUGGCAAACGCUAACCGCCACCUGCUGCUGCUGUCGAGGUGGCGUUCGCCGCGACCUGGCAGAGCAUCUGGCAACCAGAGAGUCGGCAACGUCCCCCGAGGGCCCGGCUCAGUCACCGCCAGCCAGCUCCCAUCUCCCCCGCUGUGGAGGAUUUCAAGGGUGUAACGUACGAUGUAAACGAGGCCUUUUUAUAAUGCUGAGCACAAACGCACCGAGAGAGGAGGAGGAGGAGGAGGAGGGAGGAGGAUAAAAAGAGACGAGAGGAGGAAAAGAGGAGUAAAUUUUACAGACAGAAUCGAAUAAAGAUCCCGGAGUGUUCAGAAGAUAGAUUUGUACCUAAGAUGUUUAAUUUAAGACCAAAACCACUGAAUGUAAAUACAAACGCUCACAUCUUUGAGAUUUGGCCAAGAAACCUGAUUCAGAAGUGGAGCGAAGUCCUCUCGGUUAAUUCUGCACACUGAACCAGAAACUUCACAAAUCAAGACCUGAACUCAAAACAUAAAACAUGAAUAUUCAUGUUUACCCAUUGAUUCAAACACACAGCAGUUUGUGACUGAAAGAGCGUCAAAAAUAAUUCAGUGAAGUAACGAAAUGAUUCCAGAAAAUGAAGUCUGUCUUUUCUUUUUUUUUGUUCUUCUUGAAUCAUGAGUGAACAAACGUGCUGAUUUCUUUAGGAUGGAGCACAAAAUUUAGAACUUUUGAGACAUUUGAACAUUAGUAGAAAUAAAAAAAUACAACAGUUUAAUGACAGAAUUUUUCAGCCAAUAGAAAAAUUCAGUUGCAGUAGCGGGUUUCCACCUGUAGAGGGCACUUACCUUACAUGUUUCUAUCGAGGAAUUUAAAGACUUAAACAUUGAGAUUCAGAUCUGAGUUGAUCCACACUGCUGCUCAAUAUCUACCUGACUUGAUUCUUAGCUGAAGUAAACGGGUCACGUCUGGAACCGCCUUGUUCUGUUUGAGAAUUUAGCUCGGUACACUCCGACAUCUCAGCAUUCUGACAUCCCGCCACUCCGACACCUAUAUGUCUCAUCAUUCCGACGCAACUUUCCAUAUAAGGGAGAGGGGGGUGUGCCUUCACAUCUGGAGUCUGUCCCGAGCGUAGCUGGGCACGCCCCGCGCCGAACCCACGCAGAGGGCUCCACGGCGGUGCGGCAACUGGUCGGGCGUUUGUCCUGCUUUGAUUACGGCACGUUGUAAUAUAUUAGAGAUUUUAUUUACAUUGAUGUUGGAAUCAGUACACCCACGUGUCUCUGUAUUUGCGUCACCGGCAGUGCUCUUAAGCACCAGCUCCACAGCGGGAUGGUGGGAUGUUUGAAAAAAGAAAAAAAAAAAAAUACUGCCACUCCACCAUAGCAGACGAUAGCUGUCGGAAUGACGGGACAUUUGAUAGCAUGGCAACAUACCGCCACUCUGGCAAUUAGAGAUCAAUGUCGGAAUGGCGGUUGCCCGAGUCCAAAAACUCGCUUUCAUAGGAUAAAAUCCGAUUCUUUGAAGUUUUGGUUUUUGUGGGUCUGUUUGUCUUCGGCCUACUGUACAUCACUGAAGCAAAAAAAAUUAAAAUAACUUAAAGAAUAAAAUCCAAAAGUGACGGGGAAAACUGAGCAGAAUUUGUGGUUUGUGGAGUUUGAUCGUCAGCCUCUUUGUGACAGCAGUAAACCGGCUGCAGCUCUGAGCCGCAGAAAAACAACAAAACCCUGUCACAGCUGUCAGUCAUCGCUGACAGUUCACCCACACUUUAACCACUUAUUAAUUACCCAUUAUCAAUUAAUCACAGCUGAAUGGAGGAAGGGCAGCCCUCAUAACCAGCUGACAGUUCAAAGGAAAAGUCAGCGUUUCAGAAAUGCCCAAUUUUCAAGUUCGGAGGAGUUCGAUUUCAACAUGUAGCUUCACGUGCAGCCAGAGGACUCUAGAUAACCUUUUCUCCUGUAGAUCGUGUUAACAUGGUCAGAUGACAAAUCAGUAUAAAUCUGUUUUCUUCUUUCUUACUACAGAUUGGAGGUGCAGACUUGUUGUAGACUGUUCAGGGUAUGUGGACGCUUUAAUCAGUGUUUUGUAAAAAUGAAGUCAAAUAUCUGCUUUCAAUCAAACUUGAUGUAGACUCUGCGAACCUGCUGAAGACUUUGCUGACCUGUUGUAGAUUGAGUAAGCAUACUGGUGACUUUGCUGGCCUGGUUUUGCCUCUGUCAGUGUAUGAAUGCAUGAAACAGACCUCUUCCAGCCUGCUGUAGACUGAGAGCUGACUGCUGAAGUCCAGUAGCUGUAAGAACUGCUGUCGGCAUUAGUUAAACUCAGUGUUUUUGACUCCACUGCAGCCUUUGGUUGUAAACUUUACAAACCUGUAGAUGAUGCAGACUUGCUGUUUAGACUCUACCAGCUUGAUGGUCUAAUCUAGACCUUGCAGACCUGUUUAAGACCUUACUGGCCUGCUCUUUCACCAGGUCAACCUGCUGUAGAGUCUGCAUGCUUGUUGUGGAGCCUGCAGACCUUCUUUUGACUCUACCAUCCUGCUGUGUAUCAUCACACUGAUACUUCCUGCUGACAUUGUUAGCAGUAAACCAGCCUGUUGCAGAUUUUGCAGACCUGCUGUAGACUGUGCUAGCCUACUGUUCACCUUGAUGGUCAGAUCUAGUCUUUGCAGGUCUGCUUUAGACCUUAUUGGCCUUCUCUUUAACCAUGGAAACCUGCUGUAGACAUUGCCUACCCUCUAGCUGCCCUGUCUUUGACGUCGCCCUCCUGCAGGUCCUGGUUUUUGAGUAUCAGCAGGGUCAGGAGGUCAACCACCAGCACCACCUUGGUUUUAGACAUCACAAGUGCGCCCAGGCUCUGGAGACGUGUCUUCUUCACUUCUUUAGGACCUAGAAAUCAAAGCAGAGAGGGUUAACCAUCAUCGUGAUCAACAGGAAACGUGUUCUGCUUCAUGAAAAUAAGGAAAUCAGCUGUGGCAGGAAGAGGCGGCAGAUCAAGGAUGAUGUCCCGACAGCUCUGGACAAAGAUUAUGUUUCAGGAUUUAUUAUUAUUGAUCAUAACUUGUUGUUUCUGCAGCUGUAACGCUCACCUUUACAUCUCUUGUUUUCUCGUUCUUGUUCUGCAUGAAUAUUUCAUCGUUUAUGUCAUGCUCUGUUGUUUACCAACCGGUUUCACCUUGAAAUGCACCUUGAGGGAUGAAUGAAGUAUUGUGAGCGGCGCUGAAAAGUUUGACAACAGCUCAGACCAGGAGAAAACUUGUGUUUGUGUGCAGUCUUCACUUUCUGAUUGAUUUCUUUGGGAUAAGUUGUUUUUCAUUCGGUAUGAGCUGCACAUUAAAGAUUAUUAUGUUUGCUUCCGAAACACGAAACAUCCAGAUGAGACGAAUCGAGCUGCAGUUGUUUGUCCCGUUUCCUUUUGUGCCUCUUAUAUUCACAUGAAACGGCAGCUUUUUCAGGAGAUAACGCCAACCAAUGAGCCUGAUAAUUACAGGAAACCGAUGCAUUAAAUUGUCCUGAUUCACACAUUUAUGAGUUGUUUUCUUCUCUACGAGCUUCACAUACAAACACAACAUUGCCUCGAAGCACCCAGCACUGGUUUCUGUCAGGAUAACAUACGAGUGGUGUGAUGUGUUGACCUCUGACCUCCCCUUAGUGUUUUCACUCCCACGUCUUUUCUCCCUCCGUCCUCCCACUCAUCACUCUCCCUUCCAUCAUCCAGCCCAGCGAACAGCCCGUUAUCAUCGGGACGGCGUUUAAUUUCACAGAGCGCUUCGAUUAUCAGCCAGCAUCACUUUAGGAAAACAGAGAGUAGAGGAGAAGAAACGCCUCCAGCUAACGCAAAAAAAAAAAAAACAUCACCCACUGUUUAUGCAGUUACUGUCGAAAAACAUAUAACACAAACAAGAUCUUUAAUAAUCGGACGAAAUGUCCAAAGGCUUCAAUAUGCCCUCGGUUCAAGAGUGAGCAAAUCGACAACCCCUCGCCAAAUCAGGUCCAAGAUUAAAACCAGCGAGGGUGGAGAUGUUUUCAGAAUAUUUAACUAAGAUUAAAGUUGAAUCAGCCAGACAAAAGAAAAAAAAAUGCCCUGGUGUCCAAAUAAAUCAUAAGAAAUUCCCUUUCAAUAGCCUGUGUGUACAACUGCUUAUCAAUAAUGAAUCUGGAGACACUAAUAAUCACAAGAAAACAAAGAAUCCCUGAUGAACACAAGUGAGAAGAGCUCAGUCCAUUAAACCUAUAUCACACCUGAAACCGAAACUGAGGAGCAAAAAAAGGAACUGGAAGACCGAGACUCAAUCGCAGAUCCGUUUUUUAGACCAUGUCCUCUCUUAAAACUCUUUAAGAGGUUUUAACGUUCACCAAUGUUCUCCUAUCUAUUCCCUAUUCAUCAAAAUAACUGUAUUUAUGGCGCUUUUAUGGAUGACACUUUUAAAAACAAAAGUUUACAAAGAGCAUACAUGGAAAAUAAACCAACAGCAAGAGAGCUCAACAAAAACUGAACCUGACCCUCAAAGAAAUAAAUAAAAAAGAACUCAAAGAGAAUAAUUAUCUGAAAACAUCACAAGAAACCAGAAACACCUUUAAGACCUGAGUCUUAACUGAGACCUCAAGGACCAAGAAGUAAGACAACAAGAGUAAAUCAGUGAAAUAGAAACGAAGACAAGAGAAGGCAGACUGUCCUGAUGGAGUAUGGACUGUGAGUGUUCCACACCUGCAGGGACCUAAAAUAUCAGUUCAGCUUUUAAGAAUAAAUGUAGUAAUCAUUAGAUAUGAUAAUAUGUCAGUGUUUUAUAUUUUCACACACACAUUUCACGCAGUGCAUAGAGAAGUUCAUAUGUGCCUGUAAUGGAAAUGAGAAACUUUGCCUCGAUAAAAAUAAAGAAUUAACAUAAAGUGGAGUUAAAUAAAGUCUGAACUCUGAGAUUAAAAGUCAAGAUAUUAAGAAAAAUGUAAUAAUCAAAUUAAAAAGAAAUAAUUCUGAGAUAUGAGGUCAUGGUUAUAAUCAAAAAAGUCAAAAUUAUGAGAUAAAUAAGUCUGAAUAAUAACAUUAAAUGUAUGAAUAUCUCAAAGUCAUUACCAACUUAUCAUUUAAACCUAUUAUUUCAUAACUCUGAUCCAUCAACUCAUUACUUUACUCAAGUUUCUCAUAAUUUUGAUCCAUCAUCUCAUAAUAUUGACCUGUCAUCUCAUAGUUUUGACCUAAUAUCUCAUAAGUUUGACUAUCAUAUCAUACUUUUGACCAUCUUUCUCAUAAGUUUGAUCUCUCAUCUCAUAAUUUUGACCCAUUCUCAUAAUUUUAAACUGUUAUCUCGUAAUUUUGACCCAUUAUCUCAAUAUUUUCACCUAUCAUCUCAUAAUUUUGACCUCAUCAUGUAAUUUUGACCUGUUUGUCUUUUUUUUACGUACCAUCUCAUAAUUUGUGCUUGUUUUCUCAUAAUUUUGACCAAUUAUCUCAUAAAUCUCAUAAUAUUGACCCUUUUACUCAUAGUUGUGACCCAUCAUCUCAUAAUUUGUGACUGUUUUCUCAUUAUUUUGACCCUUCUACUCAUAGUUGUGACCUGUUAUCUCAUAAUUUCCACUUCCUUCCUCACAUUUAUGACUUUUUCACGUCUAGCUGGUCCUCCAUUUCUGAAGUCCUUCUAACUUUCUCGUCUGUGUUUACUGUGUCUUCACUCAUUUUCAGUCUGAUUGGCUUUUGUUCCGUUCCACUCGACAGUCCCAGUGCUGCACACUCAGCUGUCCUCAGGGUUUCUGAUCAUAUUCAUGAAUAACAUUCUGGAGAUCAAAUCAGUGAGGCUGUCUUCGAAGCACUUUAGGGGAAGUUAAAUCACUCUUUAUGCUCAUUACACCACAGGAAAAUAACUGAGACUUGGCUCUGGAGGGGGGAACUGGUCCAGGAAUCUGGCCUGCUGUCUGUCCACUGUCACCUCAGUAAGGACUCGAACCUCAGGCCACAGCGUGAAACCUUUUGUUAACUGGAUAUGAACCAUCACUGAGGCUGUGGUUUUUAUCUCCACAGUAGAGAAGAUGUGAUAUUUGAUCAGACUAAAUAACCAACAUGUCUCUAUUUUUCACUCAGCCAUUUUUCACAAACCCAGUCUCCUGUUUUUUUAGCGUGCAUUAUUUCUGCUUCCACAUUAUCCCUCAUGCAUGGAGGUGUGGCUGAAAAAUCUAAAAAUGUGGAAAAUAGUAAGUCUCAGCUCGGCCUGCAGACUCAGCAGUAAAUGAAUUAUUGAGAAGAGUGUAUCAAUAAUGCAUCAUCAAUAGAAACCAGGAAUUCUUCUCCAGGCUCCUCCAGCUAACUCACAUUCACACAAACACUCGCACAAUCACACACUCACUGAAGACGUCGGCAGAUUUCACUACUUAAUUCUCACACCGUCGUCCGUGAGCUUACAUUUAAUGGGGUUAAAGUAGUCUUUAAAUUACACACUUGUAUAGUAAAACGUCUAACCAACACAUGCUAACACGUGCUAAUGGUGAAACCCUUCUGCAAAACCUGACCGUGUACGUCUCAGUGCGAUCUCUGUGUGGCUCCGAGUUUUGAAUAUUUGGGUUUUCUUUUAUUAAAUCAGAAGCAUAGAUGUAGAUGUCCAAUAAAUAUAAUCAAACCCAUGACAGCUGCAAAAAUAAGUAAAAUACACGCAUAUCAGCUCUUCAACCCUUUUGUUUGUUAGAUUUAGAUGUUUUUUUUUUUCCUUUUUUAACUGCAGAUAAGUGUUAAUAGUCAAAGUGGGAAAACACAUAAGAAUAUAACCACUGUGACUAAAGAUGAUAUAAUCUUCUCACUUCUGCUGCUAGAAAAAACAACAUAUUAUUACAGUGGAUCGGUGACAAAAGCCCCUCUGUUCGACGAUGGUGUGAAGUUAUAUCUGAGCCGGUUCCUUUGGAAUAUCUUCCAAGUGUUGCACAUGCAAAAAUAGAUCAGGUCUACAAAGUCUGGCAGCUUUAUCAGGGCUCUCUUUGUUAGCUUGUUCGGUGGCUUUGUUUCUGUUCUGUUGGUCAUUGUGUCGUGACUUUUAGGGGAAAACUGCCAGAUUUCUUAAGAACAACUUAAGUAUUUUUUUUCCCAGUCUAAACAAAGUUGUGUUUUUAUAAACAGUCCUGUUUGGAGAAGCUGAGAAAAUGAUAAAUACGAAAAUACAGGUGUGUAGAAAAAGUCCCUCUGGGGAAAAACUGUCCCUCAGUUUGUUUCGAGAAGAGAAAAAUCACUGGAAUGGACUGAAUAUUUUCACUAUCACUCGCUCUACAGCGGUUUGUGCUUGUUGUUGAUUAUGUUGCAGAAACAAAGAGUGGCCACGGUGUUGGCAGAGAGGAAUGGAGGGGCUUGCGUGUUGAUGUAAAUGUGGAGAACCAGGUUCAUAUCUGAAGCCCGAGGCUGCUGAAGGCUCUGAUGAUCCCUAAGGUUUUGAAUAACUCAGCGCAGAAUGACGAAUCCUGUCAGGAGCACCACUGGGACCGAGAGACAACAAGGCACCGCUGCAGGGAGGAAAACUCUUUUAAAAAAAUAAUAAAGGCAACCCUGAUGACUCGCUUUUAUCUCCCCCCAAAAAUGAGAUGUUUGGUCUGAAAAAAAAAUGAAAACAACUCGAGGUUUCUCAGAGGAAAGCCUGCGUGAAACGAAGCUGCAGUCGUCUGGAGAAAACAGCAGUUUGUUGUUCUAACAGUGUGAUGAUAAAGACCACGGACACCCAGUUGUGAAUCCAUAUUCAGACACGCAAGCAUCAAACAUUUAUGAAAUAUGAACAAAAAGAGGGUUUGAAUAAAAGAAAAUCAUGUUUUUAUCCUUUUGAUGGUAUUUAUCGUCUGGAGUGGGAAAUUAAGGACUUCAUUUAAAGAUUCUAAUUUUCUGCUCAAGUAAAAUCAAAAUUAAGAAGCUUGUGAACAAAAUAAAAACAAUAUGAAGUAAAUCCGUCUGUUAAAGUUCACAUUUACUCAUAUGGAGGUCAGAUAAAUCUGUGUUUUCUGAGAAUAUCAGCCAGAAGGAGGAAAAAAUGGUCAACAUAUAAAACACGGAUGUUAGCUAGACUAGAACUGGAUGAUAGAGACAAUCAAUGUUGGAUUAUUACUGGUGAAGUAGAUCACCAGAGGAAUUCUGGAUCUCCAAUGGGAUACUGGACCAUCAAAUGGACACUGAACGGCCAGCUGGAUCACUCGAUGCCCGCUGGAAUAUCC